GCCUGACUGGUUCAGUUGGUAUAAUGUGAGACUUUUAAUCUCAGGGUCAUGAGUUCAACCCCCAUGUUGGGUA